UAGUUAAUUGGUGUGUUUGUGUGUGUGU
rnacentral:piRNA from 1 species